CCGCCAAACAGCAGCAGACCAUCCUGAAAGUCACCAUCGACGGAUGCGAGUGGAACGACGUGAAGUUCUUCCAGCUAGCCGCUCAGUGGCCGACUCACGUCAAGUAUCUCCCGGUGGGACUGUUUGGCUACAGCAAACCACCCUCCUAGGACGGCCCACUUUCUCAGCCCCGCCUCUUCAACCUGCAGCCUACACCCCAUUGCACACCGCCGCCGCCACUCUCAGAACGCUGGCCAAUCACAGCUGAGAUGGGAUUUUCAUGUGACCGUCUCUGGUGGGUUGGUAGGUGGAGGUGAAGACGUUCGAUUCGGCGGCUUCGAUAGACUUUUAUCAGCGCUAGUCACUUUUAUUUAUUAAAGGCCCCAGAGCCACAUAUGGGGGCCAAGCACAAAAUUUGGAUACACCACCUGUUGAUGACUAUUUAACAGCAUGGCACCGCUUAAAUCACACUCGACAACCCUGAAUAUAUCCCUUGAUGUAACUGAUCUCUUUCAUCAUUGGCGUCUAUAACCAGCAUAAUCGAUAAAUGCAGUUUAAGCCUUGCUAAAAUCUACCAUGGUAACUGUAUUUGGAGAUAAACGUAACAGUAAAAUCAGCUUUCGGAAUCUUUCUGUUGCUUAGCAACUAUGGAAUUUUGGAGGAAACUGUGGUUACCAUGGUCGUUUUUUGUAAACAUGAAAAAAGCACCAAUGAAUAUUCCGAAAAUUAGCAAAGUUCCUGCCUUUAUUAAGAGGGUGGAGUUAAACGCCAAUUUUACAUCGGAGGCGGGGCUACAAGGUGCCCAUUAGCCAACUGAUGAGAUUUCCUAAAAAUCUUCAUUUGCAUAGUUUGUUUUAUCCUUCCAGUCGAUGAAAUCUGAAAAUGCGUCGUUGACCUCUAACUUGCAUGUCUUAAACUACAUCACCCAUAAUGCACUGGCAAAGUUAACAAUUAACGUUAGCUCAGUUGUGCACAAAUCGUUUCGCCUCUUGCGUUCCCCUAGACAUAUACGGAAGGUUAGUAGUUCGCAUUGGUUAAUCUCUGUUAACUAGAAUAAACGAAUUCAGUUUAGUUUUAUAUUUAUUUUUACACACGCUUUUAUGUCAGUUAUCGUUUAUUUUUCAAAGUGACCUUUUAGCUUAAAUAUGCAGCUCAUCUACAGGUUUUACUUCUUUUCAUAAACCAUCUCCAAAGAUCUCUGGCCAAUCAGAAUGUAAACAUUACGGGACAGAAAGAGUCAGUCACCUUUUUAACAUGGGCAACGGCAAUGAUUUCAAGGCGAAGUCGAUUUAUAAGAGAACUGUGUCCUAUCAAGCAGCACAAGGCCUGACGUAAAGGCUGGACGAUUAAUACCACCGAUUAAGCCAGCAGAAUUAGGGAAGACGUAGUUUUACAUAUAGUUUUUUGUGUGCAUCUUCACAGCUGGAAACUGGUUUGGAGAGAACUUCAAGGGUUUCAUCUUCAUCAGUUGUCAAAUGCUAUGCACUUAUUAAACUCGCCUUCAUUUCUUCAUAUCUUCAUCCAAAGCACAACAGCUCCUCAUACGGAAUGCCCAAUUAAAACAUGAUUCACAAA